rnacentral:rRNA from 1 species
GUGAACCAGUACCGUGAGGGAAAGGCGAAAAGAACCCCGGCGAGGGGAGUGAAAAAGAACCUGAAACCGUGUACGUACAAGCAGUGGGAGCACAGAGCAAUCUGUGUGACUGCGUACCUUUUGUAUAAUGGGUCAGCGACUUAUAUUCUGUAGCAAGGUUAACCGAAUAGGGGAGCCGAAGGGAAACCGAGUCUUAACUGGGCGUUAAGUUGCAGGGUAUAGACCCGAAACCCGGUGAUCUAGCCAUGGGCAGGUUGAAGGUUGGGUAACACUAACUGGAGGACCGAACCGACUAAUGUUGAAAAAUUAGCGGAUGACUUGUGGCUGGGGGUGAAAGGCCAAUCAAACCGGGAGAUAGCUGGUUCUCCCCGAAAGCUAUUUAGGUAGCGCCUCGUGAAUUCAUCUCCGGGGGUAGAGCACUGUUUCGGCAAGGGGGUCAUCCCGACUUACCAACCCGAUGCAAACUGCGAAUACCGGAGAAUGUUAUCACGGGAGACACACGGCGGGUGCUAACGUCCGUCGUGAAGAGGGAAACAACCCAGACCGCCAGCUAAGGUCCCAAAGUCAUGGUUAAGUGGGAAACGAUGUGGGAAGGCCCAGACAGCCAGGAUGUUGGCUUAGAAGCAGCCAUCAUUUAAAGAAAGCGUAAUAGCUCACUGGUCGAGUCGGCCUGCGCG